GAAACACAGGAGAGUCGACAUGUGACGCCAUGGGGUAGGAAGCCGGGAACUAUUCUCCGGUGUGAGCCCCUCCUCCCGUGCCUGUCACCAUGAGUGUCACCUCUGCCGUGAAUCUCUGCCAUGAUGGAUUCUUGUGCCUCUGGAACUGGAAGCCAAUAAACCCUCCUUCCUUUAA